GUGCUCGCUUCAGCAACACAUAUACUAAAGUUGGAACGAUACAGAGGAGAUUAGUAUGGCCUCUGCACAAGGAUGACAUGCAAAUUCGAGAAGUGUUCCAUAUUUAA